rnacentral:tRNA from 2 species
GCCGAAGUGGCUCAGUGGUAGAGCAAGGCUUUCGUAAAGCCUGGGUCGUGGGUUCGAUUCCCACCUUCGGCU